GCUUACGGCCAUACCACCCUGAGCACGCCAGAUUUCGUCUGAUCUCGGAGGCUAAGCAGGGUCGGGCCUGGUUAGUACUUGGAUGGGAGACCGUCUGGCAAUACCAGGUGCUGUAAGCU
rnacentral:rRNA from 1 species